rnacentral:rRNA from 1 species
CGCGAAGAACCUUACCAAAUCUUGACAUCCUUUGACAACUCUAGAGAUAGAGCCUUCCCCUUCGGGGGACAAAGUGACAGGUGGUGCAUGGUUGUCGUCAGCUCGUGUCGUGAGAUGUUGGGUUAAGUCCCGCAACGAGCGCAACCCUUAAGCUUAGUUGCCAUCAUUAAGUUGGGCACUCUAAGUUGACUGCCGGUGACAAACCGGAGGAAGGUGGGGAUGACGUCAAAUCAUCAUGCCCCUUAUGAUUUGGGCUACACACGUGCUACAAUGGACAAUACAAAGGGCAGCGAAACCGCGAGGUCAAGCAAAUCCCAUAAAGUUGUUCUCAGUUCGGAUUGUAGUCUGCAACUCGACUACAUGAAGCUGGAAUCGCUAGUAAUCGUAGAUCAGCAUGCUACGGUGAAUACGUUCCCGGGUCUUGUACACACCGCCCGUCACACCACGAGAGUUUGUAACACCCGAAGCCGGUGGAGUAACCUUUUAGGAGCUAGCCGUCGAAGGUGGGACAAAUGAUUGGGGUGAAGUCGUAACAAGGUAGCCGUAUCGGAAGGUGCGGCUGGAUCACCUCCUUU